GCCAGGCGCGGUGGCUCACGCCUGUAAUCCCAGCUCUUUGGGAGGCUGAGAUGGGUGGAUCACCUGAGGUCAGGAGUUCUUGACCAGCCUGGCCAAUAUGGUGAAACCCCAUCUCUA
rnacentral:SRP_RNA from 1 species